CGUUCUGUGGCGGAGUUGGUUAACGCGUCCUGUCUAAUGAACUUAGGGAGACGUGGAUUCAAACCCCACCAGAACUA
rfam:Aedes albopictus isolate Foshan contig140995, whole genome shotgun sequence.